rnacentral:rRNA from 1 species
UACGUAGGGUGCGGGCGUUAAUCGGAAUUACUGGGCGUAAAGCGUGCGCAGGCGGUUUUGUAAGCCAGAUGUGAAAUCCCCGGGCUUAACCUGGGAAUGGCAUUUGGGACUGCAAGGCUGGAGUGUGGCAGAGGAGACUGGAAUUCCUGGUGUAGCAGUGAAAUGCGUAGAUAUCAGGAGGAACACCGAUGGCGAAGGCAGCCCCCUGGGCUAGCACUGACGCUCAGGCACGAAAGCGUGGGGAGCAAACAGG